UGAUUUUACAUAAAUAUGGGUUGGGAGUGUUAAAAUACAAGAAGUUUGCUUUGCCAAUCCCGAGUAUCAUAAAUCCUUGCCUCUUAAAUUUUCUUAAAUUAAAUUUUCUAAAUUUAAAUUCAUUUUUUAAUUUUCUUCUUUCUUUCUUUAAAACUUCUUCAAUACUUUACCAAUUUUAGUAGUAUUUUUUCUACUUAAAAGUGAGGCCUUCGACGGUAAAAGAAAAGGGUGGUAACCCCAACCUUCCCAUAUUACAUGCUUAAUUAAUGUGUACAUUUUUCCUUCGCAACGAAGAUAUGAUGUAAACUACGUUGUAUUAUAAACGUCCUUUGUUGCAUGAAAAUAGGUCAUGUAUGCAGCGAAUUAUUUAUUUCAAAAUUGAAUGCUUUAUAUUACAAUGUUAUAUCAUAUACAUGUACAAUAUCCUGACACCUUAAACUAACCAUGAUUAUUCACUCAAUAUUCUUAUCUUUCUAUCAUGUAUUGUGAUGCAAAUCAACCAAUAAUAACUCAAACAUUACUUACAGAAGAAACAAAAUUUAAAUUAUGAUCUAAGUUUUAUGAAUACAUGUACUUACAACCUCUACUUACACAGUACAUAAUAGAUGUGGCGCUAGCACUCUAAUUAAGAAAUAAUGAUCGCGUUUUCGUGUCUGUUGCAGCUAGGAUAACCUCCUUGGUGUCGAAAUGUUGUUUAAAAUAUAAAAGCCUCGGCUAGCCUCGGCUUUUAUAUUUCAAAACAACAUUUUGGGACCAGGGAGGUUAUCCUGCAACAUAAACGAAAACAAGGACUUUAGUUCUAUUCUACUACGGCUCAGACAUAUACAGCCGAUCGUUUUCUUAUAUAGCUACGAAUUAGGUCAUUGUGACGUCAUGGGAGUUUCCGAACAUUAACGGCCUACAUUUGGGUUUUUUUUAUGCUGGCGAAAAGGGUGAGAUGGUAGGGGUAUUCUAAAUCUAUUUUGAAAAAAAAAUCAAGUAUUUGGAUUAUAUCGAUUGCUUUGAAUACAGUCCCAAACUUGUCUGCAUCGCCAUGUUUACAUGUGUAUCGCUCUGGGAAGGUUUAUACUCAAUGACAAAUGUUCUUCAGUCAUUUAUGAAUUUGUUUUACUUCAUUUAUUGAUUGAUUUUUAUGAUUAUAAUUAAUAUAUAAUUGAAUUAUCUUCCAUUGACUUUGUUGUUACAUUAGCAAAACUGGAAGUGCAAGCGAGAUGUGUAUCAAUAUUCUCAUAAUCAGUUAAUAAAUACGUUUGAAGGUAUAACGUAGAAUAAUGACCAGGGCAUUCCUUUGAUCUUUGUAAUAACUGUGAUGGAAUCUUAAAAGAUAAGUUUAUUGAUUAUUCUUUUAAAGUUUAAAUUCUUAUCUACCCCGACUGACAGGUAUUAAGUUUACAGAUACAGUCUGCUUGGUGUAUUUCAUAGGGUUAAUACAGUAAGCUGAAUAAUGAUAGAAUUGGCUACUGGGGUAUCCUUGUUAUUAGUCCCCCUACCUAUAGGGUUUCAUCUUCGUCUGUCCGUCCACCCCUGUCUUGUCAGCCAGUCUGUCCUAUUACUGUGUGUUUACAGGUCAAGUUUAGUUUCGUGACAGUAGAGUGAUUUUUACAAGAUGUAUGGGAAUUUAUGCCGAAUUUUAGUUCUCCGGCGGUGAAUUUUUGGGGCAUUUUAUUUUUGUCCGGACCUUAACAUUUUUGUCUUUUGACAUAGACCUUUAAUAUUUGGUAUGUUGGUAAGUCCAAUUUACUACCAUGUGUUCACAACACUGUUCCUUGGUUGAAGAACAAAUACAAGAGACUAUUAUAUCAUGUACCGUAAUUCUUCAUUUUCCAAUUUAAAAAAAUGUUUUUUAUAAACUAUGGAAUUGGAGACAUCAAUUUUAGUGUGCCUAAACAAUUCUUCCUCGGUUUUCACUUACUUACACGUCACCAGCUGUAGGCGGAGUACCAAAUUUAGACCAUUGCUUAGCCAAUCUGAUUAAAAUCAGAUCCUUUGAUCCACUCAUGUAGAUCGCUUAUUUUUAAAAAAAAUCCUUAUGAUUCAAUUUAACUCUUGAUUAAUACGCUUUUUAUUGUGUUUGUAGGAUGAUUUUUAAACAAAGACGUCAUAUAGUAAUAAAUAUGUACAUACAUACAAGUACACGGAACAAACAUUUCAUUAUUUGCAUUUACAGCGAUUCGCAUUUUUCAAGUUCACUAUUAUGGAGGCAUGUUUGCAAACAAUAUCAGAUGUCUCCAUGCCUGGAGGAUCUAUUUUGAAUAACUGAAUGUUGCUAAAACGUGAAAUGGAACAGAAUACAUGGUAUGUGUGACAUGGUAUUUAUAAUUUCAUUAAAACCUACCCCUUGUCACUGUUAUGAUCGUGUGCAGGAUUGGACAAAACAAGAUGGCAGACGGAAUUUCCAAACAAAGGUAUCAAGCCCUAGAACUUCAUUCCAUGAGAUGGGUACACUUCGAAUGUACGAAAUUGGUGGUGAGGAAUUCAAGACCAAUUCUGAAUUUCGUAGGCAUGUAAAAAGGAAACAUCAAUCAGAGAAAUUGUCUUCGUUUGUGACCAGUGCAACACACGCUUUUGCACAUUAUAAAAGAAACAUGAAGUAAAAAAAACUACAUUGUUUUCUGAAUACACGAAGUGUAUACAUAUACCAUGGCAGCCGUUUUAUAUAUCCGUUUAUGUACAUUAUGAAACGAUUAUUUUUACGGUAUUAUGCUUUGUUUUACAGAGAUACUACUAAUCUUUUACAUUGCAUUUUACACAUGUUGAUUUGUUAUUUCAUUGAACCAGAAGUGUUCUUAAUUUUUACUUGUUAUUAAAUAUAUUUCAAUGUUA